GACGAACGCUGGCGGCGUGCUUAACACAUGCAAGUCGAACGAAGAGCGAUGGAAGCUUGCUUCUAUCAAUCUUAGUGGCGAACGGGUGAGUAACGCGUAAUCAACCUGCCCUUCAGAGGGGGACAACAGUUGGAAACGACUGCUAAUACCGCAUACGAUCCAAUCUCGGCAUCGGGACUGGAUGAAAGGUGGCCUCUAUUUAUAAGCUAUCACUGAAGGAGGGGAUUGCGUCUGAUUAGCUAGUUGGAGGGGUAACGGCCCACCAAGGCGAGGAUCAGUAGCCGGUCUGAGAGGAUGACCGGCCACAUUGGGACUGAGACACGGCCCAGACUCCUACGGGAGGCAGCAGUGGGGAAUCUUCCGCAAUGGACGAAAGUCUGACGGAGCAACGCCGCGUGAGUGAUGACGGCCUUCGGGUUGUAAAGCUCUGUUAAUCGGGACGAAUGGUUCUUGUGCGAAUAGUGCGAGGAUUUGACGGUACCGGAAUAGAAAGCCACGGCUAACUACGU
rnacentral:rRNA from 1 species